rnacentral:rRNA from 1 species
CCUACGGGGGGCAGCAGUGGGGAAUAUUGGACAAUGGGGGCAACCCUGAUCCAGCCAAGCCGCGUGUGUGAAGAAGGCCCUCGGGUUGUAAAGCACUUUCAGUGAGGAAGAACGCCUGGUGGUUAAUACCCAUCAGGAAAGACAUCACUCACAGAAGAAGCACCGACUAACUCCGUGCCAGCAGCCGCGGUAAUACGGAGGGUGCGAGCGUUAAUCGGAAUUACUGGGCGUAAAGCGCGCGUAGGUGGCUUGAUAAGCCGGUUGUGAAAGCCCCGGGCUCAACCUGGGAACGGCAUCCGGAACUGUCAAGCUAGAGUGCAGGAGAGGAAGGUAGAAUUCCCGGUGUAGCGGUGAAAUGCGUAGAGAUCGGGAGGAAUACCAGUGGCGAAGGCGGCCUUCUGGACUGACACUGACACUGAGGUGCGAAAGCGUGGGUAGCAAACAGGAUUAGAUACCCUAGUAGUC